rnacentral:rRNA from 1 species
CCCUUAGAUGUCCGGGGCUGCACGCGCGCUACACUGUAGCAAGCAGCGUGCUUUAAAACCUUUCCUGAAAAGGAUGGGUAACCCCAGCAAAAUUCUACGUGCUUGGGAUAGAGAUUUGCAAUUUUCUCUCUUGAACGAGGAAUUCCCAGUAAGUGCGAGUCAUCAGCUCGCGUUGAUUACGUCCCUGCCCUUUGUACACACCGCCCGUCGCUACUACCGAUUGGGAAAAUUUUAGAGAGUCCAGGACUGAUGAUUGUUCGGCUUCACGGCCUUACUUUCGUCGGGAAAGAAUUCGAUAAUAUUUUUCUAGAGGAAGUAAAAGUCGUAACA